GAAAUGCGAUAAGUAAUGUGAAUUGCAGAAUUCAGUGAAUCAUCGAAUCUUUGAACGCACCUUGCGCUCCUUGGUAUUCCUUGGAGCAUGCCUGUUUGAGUAUCAUGAAAUCUUCAAAGUAAAUCUUUUGUUAACUCAAUUGGUUUCUACUUUGGUAUUGGAGGUCUUUGCAGCUUCACACCUGCUCCUCUUUGUUCAUUAGCUGGAUCUCAGUGUUAUGCUUGGUUCCACUCGGCGUGAUAAGUUAUCUAUCGCUGAGGACACUGUAAAAGGUGGCCAAGGUAAAUGCAGAUGAACCGCUUCUAAUAGUCCAUUGACUUGGACAAUACUUUUAUGAUCUGAUCUCAAAUCAGGUAGGACUACCCGCUUAACUUAAGC
rnacentral:misc_RNA from 1 species